rnacentral:rRNA from 1 species
CCUACGGGAGGCAGCAGUGAGGAAUAUUGGUCAAUGGCCGUAAGGCUGACCCAGCCAAGUAGCGUGAGGGAAGACUGCCCUAUGGUUUGUAAACCUCUUUUAUGCGGGGAUAAAGGUGUCCACGUGUGGAUGUUUGCAUGUACCGCAUGAAUCAGGACCGUCUAAUUCCUUGCCAGCAGCCGCGGUAAUACGGAAGGUCCGGGCGUUAUCCGGAUUUAUUGGGUUUAAAGGGAGCGUAGGUCGGUCUUUAAGCGUGCCGUGAACUGUUGUGGCUCAACCAUGAGAGUGCGGCGCGAACUGGAGACAUUGAGUGCGCGGAAGGCAGGCGGAAUUCGUGGUGUAGCGGUGAAAUGCUGAGAUAUCACGAAGAACCCCGAAUGCGAAGGCAGCCUGCCGCAGCGUUACUGACGCUGAAGCUCGAAAGCGCGGGUAGCGAACACGAUUAGAUACCCCAGUAGUC